CAGGGUCGGGGGUGGGGUGCUGGAGA
rnacentral:piRNA from 1 species